AUACGAAGGGGGCUAGCGUUGUUCGGAAUUACUGGGCGUAAAGCGCGCGUAGGCGGAUUGGUCAGUUAGGGGUGAAAUCCCAGGGCUUAACCCUGGAACUGCCUCUAAUACUGCCAGUCUUGAGUUCGGGAGAGGUGAGUGGAAUUCCUAGUGUAGAGGUGAAAUUCGUAGAUAUUAGGAAGAACACCAGUGGCGAAGGCGGCUCACUGGCCCGAUACUGACGCUGCGGCGCGAAAGCGUGGGGAGCAAACAGGAUUAGAAACCCUAGUAGUCC
rnacentral:rRNA from 1 species